GAUGAAGAACGUAGUGAAAUGCGAUAAGUAAUGUGAAUUGCAGAAUUCAGUGAAUCAUCGAAUCUUUGAACGCACAUUGCGCCCCCUGGUAUUCCGGGGGGCAUGCCUGUUCGAGCGUCAUUUCACCACUCAAGCCUCGCUUGGUAUUGGGCAACGCGGUCCGCCGCGUGCCUCAAAUCGACCGGCUGGGUCUUCUGUCCCCUAAGCGUUGUGGAAACUAUUCGCUAAAGGGUGCUCGGGAGGCUACGCCGUAAAACAAACCCAUUUCUAAGGUUGACCUCGGAUCAGGUAGGGAUACCCGCUGAACUUAAGCAUAUCAAUAAGCCGAGGA
rnacentral:misc_RNA from 1 species